UCGACUAAGCCAUGCGAGUCGAGAGGGUUCGGCCCUCGGCUGACGGCUCAGUAACACGUGGAUAAUCUGCCCUUAGGUGGAGGAUACCCUCGGGAAACUGAGAAUAAUACUCCAUAGGCCUAGGAUGCUGGAAUGCACUUAGGCUGAAAGUUCCGGCGCCUAAGGAUGAGUCUGCGGACUAUCAGGUUGUAGUCAGGGUAAAGACCUGACUAGCCUACGACGGAUACGGGUUGUGAGAGCAAUAACCCGGAGAUGAUAUCUGAGACACGAUAUCAGGCCCUACGGGGCGCAGCAGGCGCGAAAACUUCACACUGUGCGAAAGCACGAUGAGGGAAUCCCAAGUGCCAGCUCGUAAGAGUUGGCUGUUUUUCUGUCUAAAACACAGAGAGAGUAAGAGCUGGGUAAGACGGGUGCCAGCCGCCGCGGUAAUACCUGCAGCUCGAGUGGUGACCGUUAUUAUUGGGCCUAAAACGUCCGUAGCCGGUUUAGUAAAUGCCUGGGUAAAUCGUGUAGCUUAACUAUACGAAUUCCGGGUAGACUGCUAAGCUUGAGACCGGGAGAGGCUAGAGGUACUCCUGGGGUAGAGGUGAAAUUCUGUAAUCCUGGGGGGACCACCAGUGGCGAAGGCGUCUAGCUAGAACGGAUCUGACGGUGAGGGACGAAGCCCUGGGGCGCAAACCGGAUUAGAUACCCGGGUAGUCCAGGGUGUAAACGCUG
rnacentral:rRNA from 1 species